UUUAAAUAAGAGCAUUUAAUUGUUCAUAUUUCUA
rnacentral:tRNA from 1 species